UAAGUUAAUAAGGGCGCACGGUGGAUGCCUUGGCACUAGGAGCCGACGAAGGACGUGACAAACGACGAUAUGCCUUGGGUAGCUGUAAGUAAGCGAUGAUCCAGGGAUUUCCGAAUGGGGGAACCCAACAGGUAAUACCUGUUACCUACAUCUGUUAAGGAUGUGAGGAGGAAGACGCAGUGAACUGAAACAUCUAAGUAGCUGCAGGAAGAGAAAGCAAAAGCGAUUGCCUUAGUAGCGGCGAGCGAAACGGCAGAAGGGCAAACCGAAGAGUUUACUCUUCGGGGUUGUAGGACUGCAAUGUGGACUCAAAGAUUAUAGAAGAAUGAUUUGGGAAGAUCAGCCAAAGAGAGUAAUAGCCUCGUAUUUAAAAUAGUCUUUGUACUUAGCAGUAUCCUGAGUACGGCGGGACACGUGAAAUCCCGUCGGAAUCUGGGAGGACCAUCUCCCAACCCUAAAUACUCCCUAGUGACCGAUAGUGAACCAGUACCGUGAGGGAAAGGUGAAAAGCACCCCGGGAGGGGAGUGAAAAUAGAACCUGAAACCGUGUGCCUACAACAAGUUCGAGCCCGUUAAUGGGUGAGAGCGUGCCUUUUGUAGAAUGAACCGGCGAGUUACGUUAUGAUGCGAGGUUAAGUUGAAGAGACGGAGCCGUAGGGAAACCGAGUCUGAAUAGGGCGCCUUAGUAUCAUGACGUAGACCCGAAACCAUGUGACCUACCCAUGAGCAGGUUGAAGGUGCGGUAAGACGCACUGGAGGACCGAACCAGGGCACGUUGAAAAGUGCUUGGAUGACUUGUGGGUAGCGGAGAAAUUCCAAACGAACUUGGAGAUAGCUGGUUCUCUCCGAAAUAGCUUUAGGGCUAGCGUCGACAUUAGAGAUUCUUGGAGGUAGAGCACUGUUUGGGUGAGGGGUCCAUCCCGGAUUACCAAUCUCAGAUAAAACUCCGAAUGCCAAUGAAUUAUGGUCGGCAGUCAGACUGCGAGUGCUAAGAUCCGUAGUCGAAAGGGAAACAGCCCAGACCACCAGCUAAGGUCCCAAAAUAAUUGUUAAGUGGAAAAGGAUGUGGGGUUGCACAGACAACUAGGAUGUUAGCUUAGAAGCAGCUAUUCAUUCAAAGAGUGCGUAAUAGCUCACUAGUCGAGUGACCCUGCGCCGAAAAUGUACCGGGGCUAAAACAAUUUACCGAAGCUGUGGAUACCUUUAUAGGUAUGGUAGGAGAGCGUUCUAUGUGUGAUGAAGGUAUACCGUGAGGAGUGCUGGAACGCAUAGAAGUGAGAAUGCCGGUAUGAGUAGCGAAAGACAGGUGAGAAUCCUGUCCACCGUAAGACUAAGGUUUCCAGGGGAAGGCUCGUCCGCCCUGGGUUAGUCGGGACCUAAGGAGAGACCGAAAGGUGUAUCCGAUGGACAACAGGUUGAUAUUCCUGUACUAGAGUAUGUAGUGAUGGAGGGACGCAGUAGGCUAACUAAAGCAGACGAUUGGAAGAGUCUGUCUAAGCAGUGAGGUGUGAAUUGAGUCAAAUGCUUAAUUCUAUAACAUUGAGCUGUGAUGGGGAGCGAAGUUUAGUAGCGAAGUUAGUGACGUCACACUGCCAAGAAAAGCUUCUAGCGUUUAAACAUACUCUACCCGUACCGCAAACCGACACAGGUAGUCGAGGCGAGUAGCCUCAGGUGAGCGAGAGAACUCUCGUUAAGGAACUCGGCAAAAUGACCCCGUAACUUCGGGAGAAGGGGUGCUGACUUAAAGUCAGCCGCAGUGAAUAGGCCCAAGCAACUGUUUAUCAAAAACACAGCUCUCUGCUAAAUCGUAAGAUGAUGUAUAGGGGGUGACGCCUGCCCGGUGCUGGAAGGUUAAGAGGAGUGCUUAGCGUAAGCGAAGGUAUGAAUUGAAGCCCCAGUAAACGGCGGCCGUAACUAUAACGGUCCUAAGGUAGCGAAAUUCCUUGUCGGGUAAGUUCCGACCCGCACGAAAGGCGUAAUGAUUUGGGCACUGUCUCAACGAGAGACUCGGUGAAAUUUUAGUACCUGUGAAGAUGCAGGUUACCCGCGACAGGACGGAAAGACCCCAUGGAGCUUUACUGCAGUUUGAUAUUGAGUGUCUGUACCACAUGUACAGGAUAGGUAGGAGUCUAAGAAAUCGGGACGCCAGUUUCGAAGGAGACGCUGUUGGGAUACUACCCUUGUGUUAUGGCCACUCUAACCCAGAUAGGUGAUCCCUAUCGGAGACAGUGUCUGACGGGCAGUUUGACUGGGGCGGUCGCCUCCUAAAAGGUAACGGAGGCGCCCAAAGGUUCCCUCAGAAUGGUUGGAAAUCAUUCGCAGAGUGUAAAGGUAUAAGGGAGCUUGACUGCGAGAGCUACAACUCGAGCAGGGACGAAAGUCGGGCUUAGUGAUCCGGUGGUUCCGUAUGGAAGGGCCAUCGCUCAACGGAUAAAAGCUACCCUGGGGAUAACAGGCUUAUCUCCCCCAAGAGUUCACAUCGACGGGGAGGUUUGGCACCUCGAUGUCGGCUCGUCGCAUCCUGGGGCUGUAGUCGGUCCCAAGGGUUGGGCUGUUCGCCCAUUAAAGCGGCACGCGAGCUGGGUUCAGAACGUCGUGAGACAGUUCGGUCCCUAUCCGUCGCGGGCGUAGGAAAUUUGAGAGGAUCUGCUCCUAGUACGAGAGGACCAGAGUGGACUUACCGCUGGUGUACCAGUUGUCUUGCCAAAGGCAUCGCUGGGUAGCUAUGUAGGGAAGGGAUAAACGCUGAAAGCAUCUAAGUGUGAAACCCACCUCAAGAUGAGAUUUCCCAUGAUUAUAUAUCAGUAAGAGCCCUGAGAGAUGAUCAGGUAGAUAGGUUAGAAGUGGAAGUGUGGCGACACAUGUAGCGGACUAAUACUAAUAGCUCGAGGACUUAUCCA
rnacentral:rRNA from 1 species